GUCGAGGGGUAACAUAGAGAAGCUUGCUUCUUAGAAGAAGACCGGCGCACGGGUGCGUAACGCGUAUAGAACCUACCUUUUACAGAGGGAUAGCCCAGAGAAAUUUGGAUUAAUACCUCAUAAUGUUAUUUGAUGGCAUCAUUAAAUAAUUAAACAUUUAUGGGUAAAAGAUGGCUAUGCGUUCUAUUAGUUAGUUGGUAAGGUAACGGCUUACCAAGACAUCGAUAGAUAGGGGUCCUGAGAGGGAGAUCCCCCACACUGGUACUGAGACACGGACCAGACUCCUACGGGAGGCAGCAGUGAGGAAUAUUGGACAAUGGAGGCAACUCUGAUCCAGCCAUGCCGCGUGAAGGAAGACUGCCCUAUGGGUUGUAAACUUCUUUUAUAUAGGAAGAAACCGUCCCUUGCGAGGGGCCUUGACGGUACUAUAUGAAUAAGCACCGGCUAACUCCGUGCCAGCAGCCGCGGUAAAUACGGAGGGUGCAAGCGUUAUCCGGAAUCAUUGGGUUUAAAGGGUCCGUAGGCGGGCUGAUAAGUCAGAGGUGAAAAUCCCACAGCUUAACUGUGGAACUGCCUUUGAUACUGUCA
rnacentral:rRNA from 1 species